CCCUAGCCCCGAUAGUAGUGGAAAUCCUUUUGUGUCCGCCGCCGCGGACGCAAAAGAUUGGAACGCAUAGCGGGAAACAGC
rnacentral:sRNA from 1 species